rnacentral:rRNA from 1 species
UACGUAUGGAGCAAGCGUUAUCCGGAUUUACUGGGUGUAAAGGGAGUGUAGGUGGCCAUGCAAGUCAGAAGUGAAAAUCCGGGGCUCAACCCCGGAACUGCUUUUGAAACUGUAAGGCUGGAGUGCAGGAGGGGUGAGUGGAAUUCCUAGCGUAGCGGUGAAAUGCGUAGAUAUUAGGAGGAACACCAGUGGCGAAGGCGGCUCACUGGACUGUAACUGACACUGAGGCUCGAAAGCGUGGGGAGCAAACAGG